GACGAACGCUGGCGGCGUGCCUAAUACAUGCAAGUCGACCUUAGUGGCGAACGGGGGAGUAACACGUGGGUAACCUGCCCAUCAGAAGGGGAUACCACUUGGAAACAGGUGCUAAUACCGUAUACUGAUGGAUGAACCCGCGGUGCAUUAGCUAGUUGGUGAGGUACUGGCUCACCAAGGCCACGAUGCAUAGCCGACCUGCGAGGGUGAUCGGCCACAUUGCGACUGAGACACGGCCCAACCUCCUACGGGAGGCAUCAGUGGGGAAGCUUCGGCAAGGGACGAAAGUCUGACCGAGCAACGCCGCGUGAGUGAAGAAGGUUUUCGGAUCGUAAAACUCUGUUGUUAGAGAAGCGGUAUCUAACCAGAAAGCCACGGCUAACUACGUGCCAGCAGCCGCGGUAAUUC
rnacentral:rRNA from 1 species